CCAACUAAGUUUGUUCUUGGUAUAAGCUUUCGUGUGCAUGCAGACUUCUUCAGAUAAGUGUGCAUGCACACGAAAGCUUAUACCAAGAACAAACUUAGUUGG